CGGUCUAGCUCCUGGCUCCGGCUAGGGAGUGCCUGCCAGAGGACCCUAAAACCUGAAUGUUAGUGUCGUCUGAGUACUAUACAAUAGUUAAAACUUUCAACAACGGAUCUCUUGGUUCUGGCAUCGAUGAAGAACGCAGCGAAAUGCGAUAAGUAAUGUGAAUUGCAGAAUUCAGUGAAUCAUCGAAUCUUUGAACGCACAUUGCGCCCCUUGGUAUUCCGGGGGGCAUGCCUGUUCGAGCGUCAUUACAACCCUCAAGCUCUGCUUGGUGUUGGGCGUCACCAGCCUUGGUGUGCCCUAAAAUCAGUGGCGGCGCCGUCUGGCUCUAAGCGUAGUACAUACUCUCGCUAUGGACGCCUGGCGGAUGCUUGCCAGCAAACCCCUAAUUUAUCAAGGUUGACCUCGGAUCAGGUAGGGAUACCCGCUGAACUUAAGCAUAUCAAUAAGCGGAGGAANNUUAUUACAGAAAUUUUUGCCCUUGGGGGGAAACCCCCCAAGGAAAUUCCACUUUUGAU
rnacentral:rRNA from 1 species